UGGGGAUUAGCCAAGCGGUAAGGCAACGGACUUUGACUCCGUGAUGCCCAGGUUCGAAUCCUGGAUCCCCAG
rnacentral:tRNA from 1 species